rnacentral:rRNA from 1 species
AGAACGAACGCUGGCGGCAUGCCUAAUACAUGCAAGUCGAACGAACUCUUCGGAGUUAGUGGCGCACGGGUGCGUAACGCGUGGGAAUCUGCCCCUUGGUUCGGAAUAACAGUUGGAAACGACUGCUAAUACCGGAUGAUGACGAAAGUCCAAAGAUUAUCGCCAAGGGAUGAGCCCGCGUAGGAUUAGCUAGUUGGUGAGGUAAAGGCUCACCAAGGCAACGAUCCUUAGCUGGUCUGAGAGGAUGAUCAGCCACACUGGGACUGAGACACGGCCCAGACUCCUACGGGAGGCAGCAGUAGGGAAUAUUGGACAAUGGGCGAAAGCCUGAUCCAGCAAUGGCCGCGUGAGUGA